CCUACGGGUGGCAGCAGUGAGGAAUAUUGGUCAAUGGCCGGAAGGCUGAACCAGCCAAGUAGCGUGAAGGAAGAAGGAUCUAUGGGUUGUAAACUUCGUUUAUAGGGGAAUAAAGGGAUGCACGUGUGGAUAUUUGCAUGUACCCUAUGAAUAAGCAUCGGCUAACUCCGUGCCAGCAGCCGCGGUAAUACGGAGGGUGCGAGCGUUAUCCGGAUUUAUUGGGUUGAAAGGGUGCGUAGGUGGUUUUUUAAGGAAGCGGUGAAAGUUUGUGGCUCAACCCUAAAAUUGCCGUUGAAACUGGCAGCCUUGAGUGUGUUUGAGGUCGGCGGACUGCGUGGUGUAGCGG
rnacentral:rRNA from 1 species